rnacentral:rRNA from 1 species
UACGAAGGGGGCUAGCGUUGCUCGGAAUCACUGGGCGUAAAGCGCACGUAGGCGGCUUGUUAAGUCAGGGGUGAAAUCCUGGAGCUCAACUCCAGAACUGCCUUUGAUACUGGCGAUCUUGAGUCCGGGAGAGGUGAGUGGAACUGCGAGUGUAGAGGUGAAAUUCGUAGAUAUUCGCAAGAACACCAGUGGCGAAGGCGGCUCACUGGCCCGAUACUGACGCUGAGGUGCGAAAGCGUGGGGAGCAAACAGG